AUGAACGCUAGCUACAGGCUUAACACAUGCAAGUCGAGGGGCAGCAUGGUCUUAGCUUGCUAAGGCCGAUGGCGACCGGCGCACGGGUGAGUAACACGUAUCCAACCUGCCGUCUACUCUUGGACAGCCUUCUGAAAGGAAGAUUAAUACAAGAUGGCAUCAUGAGUCCGCAUGUUCACAUGAUUAAAGGUAUUCCGGUAGACGAUGGGGAUGCGUUCCAUUAGAUAGUAGGCGGGGUAACGGCCCACCUAGUCUUCGAUGGAUAGGGGUUCUGAGAGGAAGGUCCCCCACAUUGGAACUGAGACACGGUCCAAACUCCUACGGGAGGCAGCAGUGAGGAAUAUUGGUCAAUGGGCGAGAGCCUGAACCAGCCAAGUAGCGUGAAGGAUGACUGCCCUAUGGGUUGUAAACUUCUUUUAUAAAGGAAUAAAGUCGGGUAUGGAUACCCGUUUGCAUGUACUUUAUGAAUAAGGAUCGGCUAACUCCGUGCCAGCAGCCGCGGUAAUACGGAGGAUCCGAGCGUUAUCCGGAUUUAUUGGGUUUAAAGGGAGCGUAGAUGGAUGUUUAAGUCAGUUGUGAAAGUUUGCGGCUCAACCGUAAAAUUGCAGUUGAUACUGGAUAUCUUGAGUGCAGUUGAGGCAGGCGGAAUUCGUGGUGUAGCGGUGAAAUGCUUAGAUAUCACGAAGAACUCCGAUUGCGAAGGCAGCUCACUGGACUGCAACUGACACUGAUGCUCGAAAGUGUGGGUAUCAAACAGGAUUAGAUACCCUGGUAGUCCACACGGUAAACGAUGAAUACUCGCUGUUUGCGAUAUACUGCAAGCGGCCAAGCGAAAGCGUUAAGUAUUCCACCUGGGGAGUACGCCGGCAACGGUGAAACUCAAAGGAAUUGACGGGGGCCCGCACAAGCGGAGGAACAUGUGGUUUAAUUCGAUGAUACGCGAGGAACCUUACCCGGGCUUAAAUUGCAGAUGAAUUACGGUGAAAGCCGUAAGCCGCAAGGCAUCUGUGAAGGUGCUGCAUGGUUGUCGUCAGCUCGUGCCGUGAGGUGUCGGCUUAAGUGCCAUAACGAGCGCAACCCUUGUUGUCAGUUACUAACAGGUUCCGCUGAGGACUCUGACAAGACUGCCAUCGUAAGAUGUGAGGAAGGUGGGGAUGACGUCAAAUCAGCACGGCCCUUACGUCCGGGGCUACACACGUGUUACAAUGGGGGGUACAGAGGGCCGCUACCACGCGAGUGGAUGCCAAUCCCCAAAACCUCUCUCAGUUCGGACUGGAGUCUGCAACCCGACUCCACGAAGCUGGAUUCGCUAGUAAUCGCGCAUCAGCCACGGCGCGGUGAAUACGUUCCCGGGCCUUGUACACACCGCCCGUCAAGCCAUGGGAGCCGGGGGUACCUGAAGUGCGUAACCGCGAGGAGCGCCCUAGGGUAAAACUGGUGACUGGGGCU
rnacentral:rRNA from 1 species